GGCGGAGGAGGAGGAGUGCGCGAGGGCCUCUUCUCUUCUCAAGCUCCAAUAGCAUGUAGAAGAGAAACCCUUAUAAACCACUCCAACUCUCCUUUCACUUCCGGGGUGGGACUAAACUUCCCACCACACCUAGUGCCAUAUAACCCACAUGGGCCCUUAGAGAUUUUUCAGAAAUUGCAAUAUGGGCCUAGAGUCCAUCUCAGAUUUCAGCA
rnacentral:rRNA from 1 species